GGAUGUGAGGGCGAUCUGGCUGCGACAUCUGUCACCCCAUUGAUCACCAGGGUUGAUUCAGCUGAUCUGACUGGCUAGGUGGGUGUCCCCUUCCUCCCUUACCACUCCAUGUGCUUCCCUCCUGAAGCUGCACGCUCGGUCAAAGAGGACAGCCUUCCCCGAAUAGAGACAGAACGGUCUUCAGUCGAGAGUAUAUGAGUAACUGUGCUCCCCUGCUAGAACCUCCAAACAAGCUCUCAAAGAAUAAAGCAUGGCUCGGAGGAAGAAAACUUCCAGGGUCUGUGCCUUUAUUUAUGUAUUCAUUUAUUUGAGCUGAUCAUAUUCAGG
rnacentral:snRNA from 1 species